UACGUAGGAGGCAAGCGUUAUCCGGAGUUACUGGGCGUAAAGCGCGUGUAGGCGGAUUGGUAAGUGGUUCGUGAAAUAUCCGGGCUAAACUCGGAGGGGACGAAUCAGACUGCUAGUCUGGAGGCGGGUAGAGGGGUGCGGAAUUCCGGGUGUAGCGGUGAAAUGUGUAGAUAUCCGGAGGAACACCAGAGGUGCAGACGGCGCCCUGGGCCCGACCUGACGCUGAGACGCGAAAGCUUGGGGAGCGAACGGG
rnacentral:rRNA from 1 species